CAGAGGUCCCAAGCGUUGUUCGGAUUCACUGGGCGUAAAGGGUGCGUAGGUGGCAUGUUAAGUUUGAUGUGAAAGCUCAGGGCUCAACCCUGAAAUGGCAUUGAAUACUAGCGUGCUGGAGGUUUGGAGGGGGGACUGGAAUUCUUGGUGUAGCAGUGAAAUGCGUAGAUAUCAAGAGGAACACCAGUGGCGAAGGCGAGUCCCUGGACAACACCUGACACUGAGGCACGAAAGCCGGGGGAGCAAACAGGAUUAGAUACCCUGGUAGUCCCGGCCCUAAACGGUGCGUGUUUGCUGUAAGAGGAAUCGACUCCUUUUGUGGCGAAGCUAACGCGUUAAACACGCCGCCUGGGGAGUACGGUCGCAAGAUUA
rnacentral:rRNA from 1 species